ACUGCUAAACUACAGUGCUACAGGAAAGCAUGCGCUUCAAAUGUGCUUUACAUAACUUUAAAGCACAUUUGAAGCACAUGCUUGCCUGUAGCACUGUAGCUUAGCGGU
rnacentral:miRNA from 1 species